AAAAAGGGGUUUCUGCCUACUGAAGAGCAAGGUGAAGAAAUUUUAAUCCACUUGAGAGGCAAAGCCAAAGAUGUUGUUAAAGUGGGGAUGCUGUCUAGCGGAUUAGAUAUCAGAACAAAUCCUGAUGCAAUCUACACUCUUUUACGGAAGCAUUUCAGUUGUCAACAGUAUUCUCCUGUCCCUUUGCAAGAUUUCUACACCACUCUUCCUGAACCUCAGGAGGAUCCCUUUGAUUACUGGUUACGCCUGAACCAUACUGCUGACGUCGCAGCUGAGUGUCUGAAACAACAGGGAAAGUUAUUAGACAACCAACUGAUCGAAGUCACACGCAUGUUCAUUAGGAAUUGUCCAAACUCAGAUCUAGCACUGACAUUUCGUUCAAAAACCAUUGACAAAUGGACGGCUCAUGAAGUGCAAGAGAUCCUGAACGAGUAUCAUUCAGAGAAAAAUCUCAGAGGCAAUGGACAAGGAAACAGACAGAUUGAAUGUGAAAAUAAAAUCACUAUGAAUGAGAUGCAUGUAAGUCCUUGCCAAAACCCAGUGAAAGCUGAACAGGAUUCACUUCAGUCUAAACAGUCAGAAAACAUGGCUCUGGAAAAAGUGAUCGAUAUGUUAGAGAGAGUUCUGAUGAAUAAUAGUAGUAAUGCACAGGCGAGCAAGGAGUAUAGGAAGAGAAGCACCAUGCCUAGAAUUCCAGGCUUGAAUGAUACACCAUGCUUAGUGUGCAAGGACACCUCACAUUCUGCUUUUACUCACUGUAAAGACAAAAGGCUCUGUUUCCAGUGUUUUUCGCCUGACCAUCCCAGAUUCCGGUGUCCGAAGGAAAGGAAGAAUGCUUCCUCAGUCAACCAGCAGUCAAACUAAGCGAUCUACGUGUGAGGGAGGAUCACGUAGAUCUUGAGAGUGAAUCUCCCAUAUCCAGUUUUGAAGAUGAAAUGGAUUAUGAGUCUUUAUGUCAAAUGUUCAGUGAUGUAACUUCAAACAAAACAGUCAUCUUUCAGGGUGUUCAGAAAGUUCCACAAGCUGAUAGCUUGUUUUACACAUCUGUUUCAGUUGAGAAGGAUCUCGUCCU
ensembl:lncRNA